rnacentral:rRNA from 1 species
AGAAGCUUGCUUCUAAAUAAUCUAGCGGCGGACGGGUUAGUAACACGUAGGCAACCUGCCCACAAGACAGGGAUAACUACCGGAAACGGUAGCUAAUACCCGAUACAUCCUUUUCCUGCAUGGGAGAAGGAGGAAAGGCGGAGCAAUCUGUCACUUGUGGAUGGGCCUGCGGCGCAUUAGCUAGUUGGUGGGGUAAAGGCCUACCAAGGCGACGAUGCGUAGCCGACCUGAGAGGGUGAUCGGCCACACUGGGACUGACACACGGCCCAGACUCCUACGGGAGGCAG